AUGAUGGAAAGGCUUCUCUUCUACUGCCCCGACGGCGAGUUCACCGCGCUCCGGACGCUGUCCAUCUCCUACAGCCUGGGCGGCCUCCACAGCUUGCUCCCCCGAUGCCCGCACCUCCUCGUGCUCAGCCUCAAGUUUGUCAACGAUGGCUUCGGACUUGUCCAGAACGGGUCGAUCUCACUCCACCUGCCAUCGCUGCAGGAACUUUUCCUUGAAAGCAGCAUAAUGUAUGCAGAUGCAGUCGACAUCGUCGCCCCUCUGCUGAAGCGACUCACGGUGUCCUUCGGCACAUACAAGCUGGUCAGCAGCUUCUCCGUCUCGGCGCCGAUGCUGGAGAAGGUUUCGUGGCAUUCGUGGUAUUUGGGGGACGGGAGCAUCGUCCGGUUUGGUCGUUGGAGCCUCCAGAAGUUGUGGCUACACACAGGAAAUACACAGGGGCAGCUUCCUUCUUCGCUCCACAUUAGUGCCUCUGCCUCCAAUAGCUCCUGGUUUACUUCCAAUGAAGACAACUUUGCCCAGGAGAUAGAGAAGCACCUGGUUGCUGAUUUCUCUCUUUUGGAGCUACGUCUCCUCAAAGCCGGACAUGUUUUUGGAGCACUGGUGUUUCAUCUCCUCAGGAUCACUCGUAUUUCUAGAGGUAUACAGAGGCUUAAGAUCGUCCUAGAGAGAUCGCGGGGCUAA
rnacentral:rRNA from 1 species